UACGAAGGUGGCAAGCGUUGUUCGGAUUUAUUGGGCGUAAAGAGCGUGUAGGCGGUUUGGUAGGUCCGUUGUGAAAACUCGAGGCUCAACCUCGAGACGCCGAUGGAAACCAUCAGACUAGAGUCCGGAAGAGGAGAGUGGAAUUCCUGGUGUAGCGGUGAAAUGCGCAGAUAUCAGGAAGAACACCCGUGGCUAAGGCGGCUCUCUAGUACGGUACUGACGCUGAGACGCGAAAGCGUGGGGAGCGAACAGG
rnacentral:rRNA from 1 species